rnacentral:rRNA from 1 species
GACGAACGCUGGCGGCGUGCCUAAUACAUGCAAGUUGAGCGCUGAAGGUUGGUACUUGUACCAACUGGAUGAGCAGCGAACGGGUGAGUAACGCGUGGGGAAUCUGCCUUUGAGUGGGGGACAACAUUGGGAAACGAAUGCUAAUACCGCAUAAAAACUUUAAACACAAGGUUCAAGUUUGAAAGAUGCAAUUGCAUCACUCAAAGAUGAUCCCGCGUUGUAUUAGCUAGUUGGUGAGGUAAAGGCUCACCAAGGCGAUGAUACAUAGCCGACCUGAGAGGGUGAUCGGCCACAUUGGAACUGAGACACGGCCCAAACUCCUACGGGAGGCAGCAGUAGGGAAUCUUCGGCAAAGGACGAAAGUCUGACCGAGCAACGCCGCGUGAGUGAAGAAGGUUUUCGGAUCGUAAAACUCUGUUGGUAGAGAAGAACGUUGGUGAGAGUGGAAAGCUCAUCAAGGGCCGGUACCAACCCAGAAAGGGCCGGCUACCUACGU